AUGAACGCUGGCGGCGUGCCUCAUACAUGCAAGUCGAGCGCACGGACGAGAAGCUUGCUUCUCUGAUGUUAGCGGCGGACGGGUGAGUAACACGUGGAUAACCUACCAAUAAGACUGGGAUAACUUCGGGAAACCGGAGCUAAUACCGGAUGAUAUUUUGAACCGCAUGGUUCAAAAGUGAAAGACGGUCUUGCUGUCACUUAUAGAUGGAUCCGCGCUGCAUUAGCUAGUUGGUAAGGUAACGGCUUACCAAGGCAACGAUGCAUAGCCGACCUGAGAGGGUGAUCGGCCACACUGGAACUGAGACACGGUCCAGACUCCUACGGGAGGCAGCAGUAGGGAAUCUUCCGCAAUGGGCGAAAGCCUGACGGAGCAACGCCGCGUGAGUGAUGAAGGUCUUCGGAUCGUAAAACUCUGUUAUUAGGGAAGAACAUAUGUGUAAGUAACUGUGCACAUCUUGACGGUACCUAAUCAGAAAGCCACGGCUAACUACGUG
rnacentral:rRNA from 1 species